ACGUAGGGUGCAAGCGUUAAUCGGAAUUACUGGGCGUAAAGCGUGCGCAGGCGGUUAUGUAAGACAGAGGUGAAAUCCCCGGGCUCAACCUGGGAACUGCCUUUGUGACUGCAUAGCUAGAGUACGGUAGAGGGGGAUGGAAUUCCGCGUGUAGCAGUGAAAUGCGUAGAUAUGCGGAGGAACACCGAUGGCGAAGGCAAUCCCCUGGACCCGUACUGACGCUCAUGCACGAAAGCGUGGGGAGCAAACAGGAUUAGAUACCCUGGUAGUCCACGCCCUAAACGAUGUCAACUGGUUGUUGGGUCUUCACUGACUCAGUAACGAAGCUAACGCGUGAAGUUGACCGCCUGGGGAGUACGGCCGCAAGGUUG
rnacentral:rRNA from 1 species